AGUGAACGCUGGCGGUAGGCCUAACACAUGCAAGUCGAACGGCAGCACAGGAGAGCUUGCUCUCUGGGUGGCGAGUGGCGGACGGGUGAGGAAUACAUCGGAAUCUACUCUGUCGUGGGGGAUAACGUAGGGAAACUUACGCUAAUACCGCAUACGACCUACGGGUGAAAGCAGGGGACCUUCGGGCCUUGCGCGAUUGAAUGAGCCGAUGUCGGAUUAGCUAGUUGGCGGGGUAAAGGCCCACCAAGGCGACGAUCCGUAGCUGGUCUGGGAGGAUGAUCAGCCACACUGGAACUGAGACACGGUCCAGACUCCUACGGGAGGCAGCAGUGGGGAAUAUUGGACAAUGGGCGCAAGCCUGAUCCAGCCAUACCGCGUGGGUGAAGAAGGCCUUCGGGUUGUAAGGCCCUUUUGUUGGGAAAGAAAUCCAGCUGGCUAAUACCCGGUUGGGAUGACGGUACCCGAAGAAUAAGCACCGGCUAACUUCGUGCCAGCCGCCGCAGUAA
rnacentral:rRNA from 1 species